rnacentral:tRNA from 2 species
UGGGUGCGUAGCUCAGUGGAUAGAGCCACGGAUUUCUAAUCCGUUGGUCGCAGGUUCGAUCCCUGCCGCACCCGU